rnacentral:rRNA from 1 species
UACGGAGGGUGCGAGCGUUACCCGGAUUUACUGGGUGUAAAGGGCGUGUAGGCGGUCUCUCAAGUCCGAUGCUAAAGACCGAAGCUCAACUUCGGGGGUGCGUUGGAUACUGUGAGGCUAGACGGUCGGAGAGGGUAGCGGAAUUUCCGGAGUAGCGGUGAAAUGCGCAGAUACCGGAAGGAACGCCAAUAGCGAAAGCAGCUACCUGGACGAUUGGUGACGCUGAGGCGCGAAAGCUAGGGGAGCAAACGGG